ACGAACGCUGGCGGCGUGCCUAACACAUGCAAGUCACGGGGGUCCGUAGCAAUACGGGCAACCGGCGAACGGGUGCGUAACACGUGAGCAAUCUGCCGAUUUCUGGGGGAUAGCCGGUCCAACGACCGGGUAAUACCGCAUACGCUCAUUGGGGGACAUCCCCCGAUGAGGAAACCUCCGGGGGAAAUCGAGGAGCUCGCGGCCUAUCAGCUAGUUGGUGCGGUCACGGCGCACCAAGGCGACGACGGGUAGCUGGUCUGAGAGGAUGGCCAGCCACAUUGGGACUGCGACACGGCCCAGACUCCUACGGGAGGCAGCAGUGGGGAAUAUUGCGCAAUGGACGAAAGUCUGACGCAGCGACGCCGCGUGUGGGAUGAAGCUUUUCGGAGUGUAAACCACUGUUGCUCGGGACGAACAUCCCCUUUCGAGGGGACUGACGGUACCGAGUGAGGAAGCACCGGCUAACUCUGU
rnacentral:rRNA from 1 species